CUGAAUCCCUUCCUGCCUUUUUCCAGGACGCUGCCAGUGCUGAUACAGAGGAGGAGCGGGUGCACAGAAUGAAGGAUGCCAUCCAGCAGCUGCCCGCUCCUCACUACAGGACCCUGGCGUACCUAAUGAGACACCUGGCGUCUCUGGCAGGGAACUGCUCCGACACCAGCAUGGACGCUAAGAACUUAGCGAUUGUGUGGGCUCCAAACCUCUUAAGAUCCCAGCAGAGCCGGCCAG